AACACCGUUUGGAAGCGUUAUUUAAUUGAGGGUGAGAAUAAAAAGGUUGGAACAAAACCCAGAGACACCCAGUCAGCAGACUGCAGGAUUGACGGACCACCAAGACAAUGAAGCUGGUGCUCGUGCUGGUGGCGUACGUGCAACUUGGGGAAUGCGAGGACACAUUCACACACCCCACGAUACGCACAAACGUGGCCAUACACGGUGAAGCGACGCAGUUCAGCACCUUUUGUGACGAGAGUAAUUUUUGCGCAAUUGCUUUCCUCGCCAUUGACGGGAACACGGACAUGGACUACACCAGGAGCAAGUCAUGCGCGAGCUCGAAGGGUGGUUCUGAUCAAAGUUGGUGGAAACUGGACAUGAAGAAGGAGGUCCCUGUCCACGCAGUCACCAUAACGUUCCGGAGUGACAAUUGGGGAGACCACAUCGGAUUGCAUAAAAUCUACAUUGGACGAUCUUCAAACACCACAAUCAGUAAUACGAUGCAAGUAUUUCACAUUUGGAACAUGAACAUUGCCUGUUGUUCCUCUCAUUCAACAUUCUCGGCAUUCAUAACAGUCCACACAAACCUCACCACCAUCGUUAGGACUGGAUUAUUACACCAAAAUAUAGAGUAUGCUAACCAUUUGAGCAGUGGUCCAUGUUCAGUGGUUAGAAAAAGGCCCUUACCAAAAACAUUAGCUGACCACGUGCUACUGAACCCUUAACAAAUCUACUAGAAAAAGGCUUCUGGCCUUAGAGUACAGUUGCAUAUAGAAGAUGCACGGAUGUUUAUGGCAGGAUGAGAUAAACAACAUGUAAGUUCCAAAUAGAACACGGAAGGAGAGUGUAAUAGUUGUAAUCAGGGAGAGGUGGUUGUGAUGGA